ACCUACCCCUUCUAUGACUAUA
rnacentral:siRNA from 1 species